rnacentral:rRNA from 1 species
UCAAGUGACUAAGUGCAUGCGGCGGAUGCCUUGGCGAUCACAGGCGAAGAAAGACGCGGCAGCCUGCGAAAAGCUGCGGGGAGCUGGCAAACGAGCUUUGAUCCGCAGAUAUCUGAAUGGGGGAACCCACACCGCAAGGUGUAUCCGUAGCUGAAUACAUAGGUUACGGAGGCGAACGAGGAGAACUGAAACAUCUAAGUAUCCUCAGGAAAAGAAAUCAACCGAGAUUCCGGCAGUAGCGGCGAGCGAACCCGGAGGAGCCUAGCUUUUGAUAGUACGAACUUUAGCCGAAAGGUCCUGGAAAGGCCUGCUAUAGUGGGUGAUAGCCCCGUAGGCGAAAGAGUUGGUACGGUACUAAGGAAGCGAGAAGUAGAGCGGGACACGUGGAAUCCUGUUCGAAGACGGGGGGACCAUCCUCCAAGGCUAAAUACUCGUGAUCGACCGAUAGUGAACCAGUACCGUGAGGGAAAGGCGAAAAGAACCCCGGGAGGGGAGUGAAAUAGAACCUGAAACCGCAUGCAUACAAACAGUAGGAGCCUCAUCAGAGGUGACUGCGUACCUUUUGCAUAAUGGGUCAGCGACUUACAUUCUGUGGCGAGCUUAACCGAAUAGGGGAGGCGCAGCGAAAGCGAGUUCGAAAUGAGCGUUCAGUCGCAGGGUGUAGACCCGAAACCAGAUGAGCUAUCCAUGGCCAGGUUGAAGGUGUGGUAACACACACUGGAGGACCGAACCGACUAGUGUUGCAAAAUUAGCGGAUGAGCUGUGGAUAGGGGUGAAAGGCCAAACAAAUCUGGAGAUAGCUGGUUCUCCCCGAAAACUAUUGAGGUAGUGCCUCGUGUGUCGCUCCAGGGGGUAGAGCACUGUUUUGGCUAGGGGGACAUGGAGUCUUACCAAACCAAGGCAAACUCCGAAUACCUGGAAGCGUAAGCACGGGAGACAGAGCACCGGGUGCUAACGUCCGGACUCAAAAGGGAAACAACCCAGACCGCCGGCUAAGGUCCCAAAUAACAGCUAAGUGGAAAACGAAGUGGAAAGGCCGUGACAACCAGGAAGUUGGCUUAGAAGCAGCCAUCCUUCAAAGAAAGCGUAAUAGCUCACUGGUCGAGUCCUUCUGCGCGGAAGAUGUAACGGGGCUAAGCUGUUAACCGAAGCCGCGGAUGCGCUGGUUAUCCAGUGCGUGGUAGGGGAGCGUUCUGUAAGUCUGCGAAGGCGGUUCGAGAGGACUGCUGGAGAUAUCAGAAGUGCGAAUGCUGACAUGAGUAACGUUAAAGCAGGUGAAAAGCCUGCUCGCCGUAAGCCCAAGGAUUCCUGCUCUACGUUCAUCGGAGCAGGGUGAGUCGGCUCCUAAGGUCAGGCCGAAAGGCGUAGCCGAUGGGAAUCAGGUUAAUAUUCCUGAACCUGCGUCAGAUGCGAUGGGGGGACGGAGCAUGGAAGAUCAUCCGGGUGUUGGAAGUCCCGGUUGUUGAGCGUAGGAGGUCUGCAGGCAAAUCCGCAGACGCAUCUCCAAGGCAAAGACACGUGCCGCUACGGCGGCGAAGUGAUCGGAAGUGCUUCCAAGAAAAGCCUCUAAGCCCCAGUCUGACGCGGACCGUACCGCAAACUGACACUGGUGGGCGAGCUGAAUAUGCUCAGGCGCUUGAGAGAACUCGGGAGAAGGAACUCGGCAAAUUGACACCGUAACUUCGGAAGAAGGUGUGCCGUAGUACCGUGAGAGGAGAGACACCUUGAGCGGGAAACGGUCUCAGAGAAUAGGUGGCUGCGACUGUUUAUUAAAAACACAGCACUCUGCAAAGUCGAAAGACGACGUAUAGGGUGUGAUGCCUGCCCGGUGCUGGAAGAUUAAUUGAUGGGGUGAGAGCCCUUGAUCGAAGUCCCAGUAAACGGCGGCCGUAACUAUAACGGUCCUAAGGUAGCGAAAUUCCUUGUC